rnacentral:lncRNA from 10 species
CAGUUAUUAACCCCUUUGUGCAAACUCUCUUAUCCUAUCCUUGCGCAAAUACUGCAUUUGCUCUCUUCAGAUGCCAUUUGUUCUAUUUAUUGGGAAGUAGAGGUCCAGAGUAGAUGGCUGAGACCUACUGACUUAAGUGAGAUACUGUGAUAGCACAUGCCAGAUCCUAAUACAUAACAAACAGCUUCAUGAGACAAAACUUAAUGCACUGGAAUUUUCUAUUCUGCCAUGACUCAUUAAUAUUUCAACCCACUGAUCAGUUUGACCUUCAGUCUGAAACACUGCUCAAGAUAAAUGAUCUUGUAUAUCUUCAGUAGCAUGUUCAGUAAGGAAGUAGACGAAGGCAGGACAAUACCAUGCUGGUGAGGCGCCUGGACUCCAGUCAGAUAACCCAGCAUCAACUCUGCUGUGACCCUUACCAGCUGUGUGACUUUGGGCAACUUAUUUAACCUACCUAUGCCUGUUUUCUUCAUGUAUAACUAAAGGUGAUAGUGAACCUAAUGAGGAUUAAAUUGCGCAAUGAAUAAGCACUUACCACAGUGCCUAGCAUAGUAAACAUUUAAUACAUGUAUUAAAGAAUUGGAGCAAUGGUCUUGCAACCUUUUCCACAACCCCCCCAGCCCUUUAAUUCAGAAAACCUGCCUAAAAAUGAAGCCCAAAGUGUAAGCACAAUAAAAACAAUAAAAGUGGAGCCCUUGAAUAGAGUGGGUAGGAGCCUUGGCUCCAGAGAAAACGCAUAUAUGUGCAUAGGAUCAGAAUGAAAUGUCCCAUUUUAAGUUUACCUUCCCUGCUAUGAGCUACCACCACCAUUACAAGAGGACACUAAAUUUCACAGAUGGUGGUGAAUGACUGGGGCUCACCUGAUUUUGCUUAAUAAGGAUCUCUUAUGGACUACAAAAUCAAAUUCCUAUGCCUGUAAGGCAGGGAAAACAGUUCAUGAGCACAAUCCAAUCUGUAAGCAUGUCUUCUUGGUUGCAAACUGCAGUUUAAAUUAGUGCUUGCGAAGUCAGGAUAUUGUACCGAAAAAUCCAGAUUUCUCUAAAAUGGCCCCAUAGGCCUGGUUUCCUGCAUGGCUGCCCCUGGCUGAAGAAUGCUUCAUUCGGUCUGUCCAGUCUCUGGCAUUCUGUGGUUUCCCUACAGAAACCACGUGUUUGCUUUUUUUAUAGUAGAGAAAUCUUACCACUAUCUCUGUGUGUUAACAAUCUGGCUCCUGCUUUGAGGUGCACCUUCACUUAAUGGUGCCUCGUAAACAGAUUGCAGCAGUGAGAUCAGCCGGGCUUCAGCUGAUUAAACACCCAGUUGGGAACACCCAGCUGGGAACACACUGUCUCUGUUCUUUACUAAAGCAAAGUCCACUCUUUCACACCGGCUCCUCUGCUGUCCUAUCUUACAGACCUUGGCUUUCUUUUCCAUCUCUGGACGAUGUUGAUCCUCACCUGGUUCUAGUUCCUGCCUUACCUUAUUCUAAUAUUGAUGGCCUGCUUCUGGCAAUUUACACUGCCUUGUUUCACUUCACUUCAUCUUGUUUAACCCCUAAAUGCACCCUACUUUCACUGUGUUCUUGAAAAGAUCUCAAAAUACCUCUGCUUUAAUUAUAGAAGCAAUUAUGUAUCCACUGAAUGAGAGGACACCUUGAUUUCAAUUUCCAUUUAUAAACUUCUGCCCAUCAUCAUUCAUAUUUAGCUCUGUGAGUCUCAUAACUGCACCAGCAGCCUUGCAUGUCUAUUUUACUGCCACUUUCUAGGCCCAAACUGUUUAAAUUUAUGUCUUGAUUUCAUCUUUAAACUUUGAUUUUACCAGGUUAUUCUUGAAAUUAAAGUUAAACCUUGCUCUUCUAACAUUAGGCCCCUUCUAACAUUCUUCCAAUUUUCCAUCCCCAAACCACAUAUCAGAUUGUCAUGUUCUCUUUGCUGCUAAAUUAACUUAUCACUGCAUUCAUAUUAAAUUUCCUUGAGGAAUUUCCCUUUCACUGUGUCAUUUUUAUAUUUUUUUAUUAGUACCUUUUCUCUCAAAAGCUAAUUCUCUUUGAAAGCAAUGUCUUCCAGUCCAGGCUCUUCGUAAUUUUUUUUUUUUUUUUGAAAGAGUCUCACUGUGUCGCCCAGGCUGGAGUGCAGUGGCCUGAUCUCAGCUCACUGCAACCUCUGCCUCCCAGGCUCAAGCGAUUCUUUCAUCUCAGCCUCCCAAGUAGCUGGGACUACACCCGACUAAUUAUUGUAUUUUGGGGGGUUUUUUGUCUUUUUUUUUGAGAUGGAGUCUCUCUGUCGCCCAGGCUGGAGUGCAGUGGCGCGAUCUCGGCUCACUGCAACUUCUGCCUCCCAGGUUCAAGCGAUUCUCCCUGCACUCUAGCCUGGGUGACAGAGCUAGACUCUGUCUCCAAAAAAAAAAAAAAAAAAAGUAUAUACAUAUCCACAUAUUUUUAUUUCUUUCUCUUUUUUUGACAGAGUCUCGCUCUGUCACCCAGGCUGG